GACGAACGCUGGCGGCGUGCUUAACACAUGCAAGUCGAACGGUGAAGCGCCUUCUUUUUUGGUGGGUGUGGAUGAGUGGCGAACGGGUGAGUAACACGUGAGUAACCUGCCCCCUUCUUCUGUAUAACUGCACGAAGGUGUGUCGAAUACGUGAUAUUCUGGGUCUGUCGCUGGUUGGGGCUGUGAAAGAUAUUGUUUCGGUGGGUGAUGGUGGGGCGGCCGAUUAUCUGGUUGUUGGGGGGGUGGUCUACUACGGCGGUGACGGGUGGCAGGCCUGAUGGGGUGGACGGUCACAAUGGGGCUGAGACGCGGCGGAGCCUCCUACGAGGGGCAGCAGCGGGGAAUAAUGCAGAACGGGGGGAGGAAUGAUGCAGCGACGCCGCGGGAGGGAUGAUGGCCUUCGGGUUGUGAACCUCUUUCGCCAGUGACGAAGGCCUGACUUGUUUGUGGGUGUGUUGACGGUAGCUGGAGAAGAAGCGCCGGCUAACUACGUG
rnacentral:rRNA from 1 species